rnacentral:rRNA from 1 species
UACGUAGGGGCUAGCGUUAUCCGGAUUUACUGGGCGUAAAGGGUGCGUAGGUGGUUUCUUAAGUCAGGAGUGAAAGGCUACGGCUUAACCGUAGUAAGCUCUUGAAACUGGGAAACUUGAGUGCAGGAGAGGAGAGUAGAAUUCCUAGUGUAGCGGUGAAAUGCGUAGAUAUUAGGAGGAAUACCAGUUGCGAAGGCGGCUCUCUGGACUGUAACUGACACUGAGGCACGAAAGCGUGGGGAGCAAACAGGAUUAGAUACCCUGGUAGUCCCUGAG